rnacentral:lncRNA from 1 species
AUUUAUUUGUAUCUGGGAAAAUAUUCUCUCUAGUUUAAAAUGAUUUAAAGAGACUAUACAAAAAAACAAAAACAAAAACAAAAAAAAAACACCACCACCGCCGCUGCGACAAGACGACAAAAAGCAGACAAAAAGAAAAAAAUCUGACCUCUCCGUUUUGAAUUUGUUGUUUAAAAAAAAAAAAGGAAAGAAAGAUAGGAAAAAACUCCUCGAGAGAAAUAGCAAAUGUUUCUACCUUCUGUUGCUCUUUUCUCCUUUGGCCCUCUCUCUCUCUCUCUCUCUCUCUCUCUCUCUCUCUCUCUCUCUCUCUCUCUCUCUGUUUUUAAGUCCAAGUAUUGGUCAAACAAAAUGCAAUCCUCUGUUUUUGUUCAGCCGACAAUCAUUUUCUUCGUAAGCACCUUUUUCUCUCCACUCUGUCACUGCCUGUGUGGGUACUGGUUAUAAAUGUGGAAAAAGAAUAGUUAUGACUGUAACAGAUUUUUAUUUUUAUUUCAAAAUUUUAUAUGAAUUAUGUAUAUCUUAAUGAUCGGUCAUUUUCCCAGUUUGUAAUAUAUGUGUAGAAAUUGCUUGUAUAUGAUCCCUGCUUUUUUCUCCUCUCCCUUCUCUCUCUCCUCCCUCCUUCCCUCCCACUCACCUCUUUCCUUUUGGGGAUUCUCGGCGUCGACUUGGCGAUCGAGGUUUGGCGAGGUGGCCAGGGUUAGAGAGAGAGAAAGAGAGAGAGGGACCCUGUCGCUAGUGAAAGCAGAGAGUGAGACCGUAGUAUUCUUAUGCAAAAGCUAUUCAAGUUUUUCCUAGCCGCUUUGGAGGCCCCAUUCACUCCUGUAGAGCGCUUUUACUGUUAUCUUAACUGCGUGUUUAUCUAUAUGUAAAAACUUUCUAAAGC